rnacentral:miRNA from 1 species
AUAUACAGCACCUGGGGAUCUUGUUAAAAUGUAGAUUCUGAUUCAAGAGAUUUGAAUUGGGGCCCCCCAAACCUGCAUUUCUAACGAGCUCCCAGAGGAUACUAAA